GUCUUCUAAUCUACAACUAGUCAAUAUUAGUUUUCAGACUGUUAAGGCUGCCAGGCAGGUUAAAAUUUAAUACACGUGUAAUUAGUGGUAAAGUAGAAGAGAAUCUUCAAGUAAAUAGCUCAGCAGCUGAGUUGGCCUAUUGUGUUGCAAAAUGAGCUGUGAACUUAAUGUAAGAAGAUCUGACGCUCUACUGAGGACGGCUGAUGUUGCACUGAAGAGAAUUUCACUCAAAAUAGCUUGGGGAAAACAAGUGUCAUGGUAAAGAUGCUGGGAUCACACAAGAACUGAACAAGACCUGCAACACAGCUGGACUGGAUGGAAAAUGAAGCCAGAGAUUUGCUCUGGAAUGAAAGCCGAACUUGAGCAUAAAUUGGAAUCCCUCAAGAGUCAGGCAAACAUCUCUGAAGUCACAAUGGCUCAGCCGACACCAACAGGCUUGGAAGAAUUCAAUGUUUGUAAACCAGAACCUUCUCACGGAUAUGUUUCCUCGUUAAUCUAACAGUCCUCAAAUCUUUCCAACUGCAGGGAUGUUUUCUUCAAAAGCAGAGAUUUAUCAAAUCUCUUUAGUACUGAGAACGAAGUAAGGAGAGACUGGAGGAUGGGAAAGGAGUCCUUUCCCUCUCUGCUUUUCCCAGGAAACCGUUCCACUGACAGUGAGGCCAACGUUCACUUUCCGUCACCACUCAACUUUGACCAAACUGUCCCACCAAUGGUAAGGACUCUGAGGAAAGCUCAAUUCUCUCUGAUGGGAGCUACAGUGGAGUAGAAAUGGCCCAUCCCCAGCACUGCUGCUGAUACUGAUAGAGGAAAUUAUGCUCAGCACUGUUCUAUAUCAAAAUUCUGACCUCCCAUCAGAUUAUAUAUCUUAGUUCAAACUUAACAACACAUCAGUAUUCUUUCUCUUCAAAAAUAUCUUCAUUAGCACUUUUUCUUAAAAAAAGGGACAUAAUUUCUGGGUUUCUUUUUAUGAAUUGAUUAAAACUCAUUCAUAUUCAUGGGGACAUAGAAAGACUAACUUCAUGUACCUUAAAAUAGAGUUAAAGAAGUAAUAACCCUUAAUUUAUUUCCCAAUAAAUUCCAAACAGAGCAGUUACUUUUUAUUAAAAUAGUCUAUAUGACACCAAGUCUAACAAAUUUCUGAAAAGUAACAUGGAAAAUUACAGGAAAGGGUAACUUAUCUAAUUGUUCACUAAAUUGAAGUUCAUUUUCUUACAGUCUCCCUAUUGUAAUUAUUUUUCAUCCUUUUGAUUUUAAAGUAUUGUGGGUUUUAAAUAUUUUUUAAAUUGAUAAGCUGAACUGAGUCUAUAAGUAGAUAGAUUUUAAAUCUUAAAUAAAUUCAAAAUCAGUCCUCCUUUUGAUUUUAAAGUCUUGUGUUUUUUAAAUUGAUAAGCUGAACUGAGUCUAUCUGUAAGUAGGUAGAGUGGAAAUCUUAAAUAAAUUUAAAAUCAAUCCAAAACCUUUUUCACCUUCUGCUUUCAGCAAUUAAUUCUUAUGUUAUCUAUAGCUCUCCUUUACCCAGAUUCUUGUAUCAGAAAAUGUGUCUAUAGCAUUUAAGGAGGAUUCAAUUUUAAGGAAAUGUUUUAGAGAAAGAAGGUGAAAGAGGAAGAAUACAAAAUAAAUGUACAAUGAAUAAUAAUU
rnacentral:lncRNA from 1 species